UUCUCAUUCUCUCCUCUCUACAUCUACUUGGAAGCUUUCUAAGCUGAUUUGGGACUUUGUCUUCUUGUUGAAAAGAUAUCAAGGACCCUUAGUGAGCAUUCUUUCAUUCUUUUUAUUGCUUUUUCCUUAUGUAGUGUAGAAAGUCAAACGUUUGGCCAACAGUUUGACUUUCGGUUUUGACCAUCAAUUGGUCAAGUCAAAGUUCAAUUGAACUUUGAAACGUGAUUGUAAUCACGAUAGUUAUAAUCCUUCGUGAUUAUAACCGCUGAUUACCACGUUAGCUAGUUGUAGUGUCGAGUCAAAGUUUCGGUCAAAAUGCGUUUUAGCACGCAUUUUGCAACGGAACUACUUUAGGGUAUCAAAACACCUUGUUUUGAUACCAAAUCAGUAGGUUAAACAUGUUUUGACUUGUUUAACUCGACACUAUUAGUUUAGUGCUUGUUUAGGGUCGUAAGGUAAGCGGUCUAAACAACCGCUUAGCCUUUCGAACCCGACCCGUUUGGUCGAUCUUUAGGAUCCGACCAAGCUUAGUUAGUGAUCAUAGUUGCAUAGGGAAUAACCACUGAGGUUAUACCUUAUGAUCACAUAGGAUUUGUUAGUCAUUAGCUAGUUAGCUUGUAUGCCCAUAGGAAAUGACCAAAAUGCCCUUUUAAAGCUAAAAUCCGUAUUUUGCCUAUGUGAACUUAUUUUUGACAUAUAAUCUGAUUUAGUAACAUGUUUAGGGAUAAUUGGGCAUGUAAGACUUGGCAUAGCACAUAUUAACCAUCCGAACAUAGUUUUACGCUAACGACGCCUUAUAGUAGCUUAUGUUACCAUAAUGUGUCGAAACGGGUCAAAAGCACUAAGGUAGGCUUUCCAAUCUGAAUGUAAGGUCUAUUAAAUCAUACCAUACGAGUUUAAUUACUCGUUUGAUUUAUAGAACCUCAUUCUAUCCUAUCUCCCGAUUUAGGUCCGGUUAUUUACAUAGUUACCUAUAUAGGGUGCCGUUUGAUUCCCUGAUCACUCUAGCUUUGCUUGGUUGUUGUUCAAGACUUCUAAGCACCCUCAGGUGAGUACAUAGUCCCCUCUUUUACUGUUUUCAAACAGUUUUGGGGUGGAACACAUGUGCCUACUUGAUACUUUCAUGUUUCCCAUGUUUUUAUAUCAUAUACUUACUAUGUUCAAUAGUACAUUAUUAGUACACGAUUUCAUUAUGUUUUGCUAUGUAUGUUCACUUAACAUGCUAGCACAUUGAUUUCCAUAUACUACAUUUUGUCGCAUAUGCUCAUCUAGCAUAUGGACACAUUGUUUUACAUUUUGAACCGUUGUAUAACCAUUUGAUCAUUUGAACCGUUGUAACCAUUUGAUCAUUUGAACCGUUGUAACCAUUUGAUCAUGUGAACCGUUUGUAAUCAUUUGACUAUGUGAACCGUUAGUAACCGUUGCUUAUGUGAACCGUUUGCAACCGUUGACUAGAUGAACCGUUGGACUAUAUGAACCGUUUGGAAGUGAUUAGGUAA
rnacentral:lncRNA from 1 species